UACAGAGACUGCAAGCGUUAUUCGGAUUCACUGGGCGUAAAGGGUGCGCAGGCGGUUGGGUGUGUCAGAUGUGAAAUCCCGAGGCUUAACCUCGGAACUGCGUCUGAAACUACUCGACUAGAGUACUGGAGAGGGAAACGGAAUUCACGGUGUAGCAGUGAAAUGCGCAGAUAUCAGGAGGAACACCGGUGGCGAAGGCGGUUCUCUGGGCCUUACCUGACGCUGAGGAGCGAAAGCGUGGGGAGCAAACAGG
rnacentral:rRNA from 1 species